rnacentral:lncRNA from 1 species
AUUCCGAGGACCUGCAGGCCCACAGGAGGAAGCCAGGAGGGCGCUAGUGUCUGCGUGGGGGUCAGGGCCUUCGGGAGCCCCUGCUCGGACUUCCCUGGCCCUCGGUCAGGCAGCAGGAGCCCGGGGCCUGGCUCAAGCGGGUGUGCGGCCGAGGGAGCUCCCUGGGGUGGCCCGGGGUCUGGGGUCCUGGACAGCCCCAAUCCCUGGCCCCGGAGGCUCCCCGAGCUCAGUGUCUGCAGCAGUCCUGGUGUGUGGGGGGGCGGGCGGGACGAGAGGGGGUGGGCGUGGGGUACCUGCCGCUCUCUCGGGGGCAGGGCGGGGGGCUCUCACGCGGCCCUCUGACAGGUGUGCACGCAAGUGUGUGCCCGUGUGUGCCCUGGUCUUGGGGCGGCUCUGCGGCAAGGCCAGGGAGGAGGGGGAUAGGAAGGGAAGCUGGGGAGGCAGAGAGGAGCUGGUGGGGGUCCCCCCGAAGGGCCCUUGGGGACUCCCAGGGGAGGGUUGGGGGCAGGGAGAGCGUCUCUGGGCUGAGGGGCCUGGUGAUCCCGGGUGGGUCUGCCCUGCUGGGCUCUGGCUCACACUUUCCCUGGAGGAGGCUGGUCUGUCUGGUUCCUGCAGCAUUCCACAGUGACUCUGCAUCUCCUUCUGGAAACUUCUCUCGUUCUUCUCCCUGAGGACUUCCUCCUAGCCCUCCCCUCCCCCUCUGCUCAGCCCUUUCCCAGUGUCCCUGAGAACCAGGACUCAGCCGGGGCUGCCCAGCCCUUGCCCUUCCCUGGACACCAAGGGGGAGCCCAGAACACAGGGUCCUCCCUGCUGCUCAGGGGUGCUGACGUCAGCAGAUGGAGGUGGCCUCCCUGGAAAGAUGUGGCUCCCAGGGCUCAGGACCCCAGGUGGGAGAGACGUAUCCACCCGGACUGGACAUCCGCACUGAGGAAGCCUCUGGAGGGCUGCCGGGAGAGGCUGGCAAGCUUGGCCUUGGCCACAGGGGUGGUCAGCUAUCUGGCAGCGGCUCCUUGGUGCUGGGUACUGAGAGGUCACCUUUCAUGUGAAAUCAGGAAGAGGCUGGAAGACUUAGAAGCCGGUAGUCAGGUUCCCUCCUUCCCAUGUCAGGCCUACAGGGCGGCACACGGGGCUUCCUCUUGCCCGGGGCACAGCAGAGCAUUUCCGUUUUAUAGAUAGAGUCUGAGCAGAUUAACCCCAGGGGUGGUAAGAUGUGUCUGAGCUGGGGGUUUCCUGUCAGCAGGCACUUCUUUUGCUUUGCCCUGGCUCUGUCAUGGGAUACUUAAGGCUGCUUGGUGUUAAAACCAUUACAGUAUCCGGUAUCCAUCCAUCCAUGCACCCACCCACCCACCAUCCAUUCACCCAUCCAUCCAUCCACCCACCUACCCACCCACCACCAUUCAUCCAUCUACCUACCCACCCACUGUCAAUCCUCCAUCCAUCCAUUUGUUUACCCCCGACCCACUCAUCCAUCCAUUCAUCCAUCCAUCCACUUAUCUAUCCAACCAUCUGACUACCCACCCAUCAUCCAUUCACCCAUCCAUCCAUCCACUCACCUACCCAC